GGCCACUGUGGCAAGACGAAGGAGGGGUGGGCAGGAACCACGUGCUGGUAAGGAGACUGGUUUUGUUCUAGAUGUGACAGAGAAGCAGGGAAAUGACAUGAUCUCACGUAAGCUGGCUGCAUUCUGGAUCUUUUCCUUUUGCGACUCACCGUUUGCUCUGGCUUUAUAGCUACUGCAACAAAUAGGGAUUGCUUCAGGGAUGGACACAUAAUUCAUUCAGACUAAGGAGGCAUGGCAAGAAUCUGAGGCUUCUGAGAAGAAGAAGUGAACUUCUUCUCUUAUGGGAUUAGUGUUGUGAUGGUAGACGUGAAGUCUGGAGCUACAACCGUCUUGGAACCAGAAGAGGCUAAAGCUCCCAGCAGCUGGGAAGAAUGGAACCAACUAAGAAGAACCUAAGAGCAGAGAGACGGGUCCCGGUGAUAUGGUUAUUCCCUUGAUUCAGCUAUGCAUGAAGCCAGUUACCACGUAGUUUUCCUUUUUUUUUUUUUUUUUUUAAAUUAA